rnacentral:ncRNA from 1 species
AAACACUGAGGUCGGAAAGGCUCCCGACGCUCCUCUUAUAGGGAAUCUGAGAUGCAGGAUACGCCGCCCUGCCAGUGUUU